AUCCGCAGCUCCGCUGCACUCCCCGUGCGGAACGAGCACACGGGUGGGCAGAGCUCAGCUGGGGAAUGCUCCCAACCAACUGCUCAGGGGUGCUAAUGACACCUCACACAGCAGGAGGCAGGGAGGGGAGCUGUGCCCUGGCCUGUUGGGCUUUUCCUUCUGUUCUCCCGGAGGCAGAGUCACUUUUGUUACAAUAUGCAAUCCUCCUUGUUGGUCAAAGGCAACGGCACAUACCACUUCUUUACUGCACAACAGGAAAAUAGAAGGUCUGGAGAUGUACCUUGGCUCUUGCAAACAGAGGCAGAGUGUGAGAGACGGCGCUGAGAGCUCUGGCAGAAGCUGAGGUGGAGGCUGGCACAGCGACACCGGGACAGCCCAGCGGGCUACGAAGGCUGAGAGGGGACAGCGAAUCUGCUCUGCUGAUUUAAUGUGCCUUAUGCUGACAGCUGGACUCCUGAAUUGAUGGCUUUUCAUUUCAGGGAAUAGAGGGUGCCUAUGGGAAGCUUUUUCAAAAGUAUUUUUGACCUCAUCUGCAUGCAAAACAAACAAAACCUAAACCACUUCUAUGGUGACACUGGACUGAACUCCCUUGCCUACAGUGAUGUGAUACUCAGUAACUGAUACUUGUGUGAGGCUAUUUUUGUUUUAGAAUAGGAGAGCCAUAUUUCAAUUUAAAUUAGAUGAGGAAAAAAAGUGACUUAUUUUCAAUUUUCAAUAAUAAAGAAAGUGAACAU